UUAGAUUUUGUGAGAGCGUUUGGGCCCACAGUCACCACUGGCUAAAGCAGAUGGGAUGCCUGGUAGCUGUUUGACUUCCAAGGUCACGAUUAUUAAAGUAGACACAUGGGGCACUUUGACCCACCUGUAGUACAUUUCUUUCACAGCAAGGCAGUGCAACCGGUAGCACAUCGGGCUCUUUUGGAUGCUGCUCCAGCCUUGGUCCGGUGGAUCAUGCUUGGUUUAGAAGCUGGGUUGUCUUUCCCUGCCCCCAGUCCUGUCUUUGCUUUUAUUAGUGCAUCAUACACCACGUAGAACCGAGCCAGGUUCCUGCCAUGUGGACGCUGUUCCUGCCUGAGAGUCUCUUAGAGGAAGGCUGGGAGCACUGUGUGGAAAGACUGGGCAUCUCUGCAGGCAGAGCUGAAUGGAUGUGAAACCCCCUGUGGGCAUGUGCUUCCGAGUUCCUCAGCAGGCAUUUGUGUUUAUUGGUAGGAAGUUUGCCUUUUUUUUUUUUUUUUUUUUUUUAAGACAAGGUCUCAUUCUGUCACCCAGGCUAGAGUACAGUGGUGUGAUCAUAGCUCACUGCCGUCCUUGAACUCUCAGACUCACGUGAGCCUCCUACCUCAGCCUGCUGAGUAGCUGAGACUACAGGCACAUGCUGCCACCCCUGGCUAAUAUUUUUAUUUUUUGCAGAGACGGGGUUCCCACUAUAUUGCCCAGGCUGGUCUCAAACUCCUGGCCUCAAGCAAUCCUCUCACAGCCUCCCAAAGUGCUGGGAUUACAGGCGUGAGCCACUGCGCCUAACAAAAGUUUGCUUUUUAUCUAAAAUGACCUAGGCAUUGUCACUGUACUGCUAUUUUUUUUAAAAAAAUUUUGUUGUUGUUGUUGUUGUUGUUAUAUAGAUGAGGGCUUCCUGUGUGGCCCAGGCUGGUCUCGGACGCCUGGCCUCCCCUCCUUAUACACCAGGACAGCAGGACUGAGCCACCACACCACCCAACUGCUUUUAUCUCAGUGAAUGAAAAUGACAUUUGCCUGGAGCCUUCCCCUCAUCUACCCCCAUGUUUCUCUAUUUAUUCCUCAGUUAAGUGGGCAGACCAACAUCCACCUCAGCAAAAACUUCUUCCUGACGAAUCGCGCCAGGGAGCGCUCAGACACCUUCAUCAACCUCCGGGAGGUGCUCAACCGCUUCAAGCUGCCGCCAGGAGAGUACAUUCUCGUGCCUUCCACCUUCGAACCCAACAAGGAUGGGGAUUUCUGCAUCCGGGUCUUUUCUGAAAAGAAAGCUGACUACCAAGCUGUCGAUGAUGAAAUCGAGGCCAAUCUUGAAGAGUUCGACAUCAGCGAGGAUGACAUUGAUGAUGGAUUCAGGAGACUGUUUGCCCAGUUGGCAGGAGAGGAUGCGGAGAUCUCUGCCUUUGAGCUGCAGACCAUCCUGAGAAGGGUUCUAGCAAAGCGCCAAGAUAUCAAGUCAGAUGGCUUCAGCAUCGAGACAUGCAAAAUUAUGGUUGACAUGCUGGAUUCGGACGGGAGUGGCAAACUGGGGCUGAAAGAGUUCUACAUUCUCUGGACGAAGAUUCAAAAAUACCAAAAAAUUUACCGAGAAAUCGACGUUGACAGGUCUGGUACCAUGAAUUCCUAUGAAAUGCGGAAGGCGUUAGAAGAAGCAGGUUUCAAGAUGCCCUGUCAACUCCACCAAGUCAUCGUUGCUCGGUUUGCAGAUGACCAGCUCAUCAUCGAUUUUGAUAAUUUUGUUCGGUGUUUGGUUCGGCUGGAAACGCUAUUCAAGAUAUUUAAGCAGCUGGAUCCCGAGAACACUGGAACAAUAGAGCUCGACCUUAUCUCUUGGCUCUGUUUCUCCGUACUUUGAAGUUACAACUAAUCUGCCUGAAGACUUCUCAUGAUGGAAAAUCAGCCAAGGAUUAAGCUUCCAUAGAAAAACACUUUGUAUCUGGACCUCAAAAUUAUGGGAACAUUUACUUAAACGGAUGAUCAUAGCUGAAAAUAAUGAUACUGUCAAUUUGAGAUAGCAGAAGUUUCACACAUCAAAGUAAAAGAUUUGCAUAUCAUUAUACUAAAUGCAAAUGAGUCGCUUAACCCUUGACAAGCUCAAAGAAAGCUUUAAAUCUGUAAAUAGUAUACACUUUUUACUUUUACACACUUUCCUGUUCAUAGCAAUAUUAAAUCAGGAAAAAAAAAAUGCAGGGAGUUAUUUAACAGCUGAGCAAAAACAUUGAGUCACUCUCAAGGGACACGAGGCCCUUGCAGGGAAUAUUUAAAGCAACUUCAAGUUUGAAAUGCAGCUGUUGAUUCUACCAAACAACAGUCCAAGAUUACCAUUUCCCAUGAGCAAACUGGGAAACAUGGUAUAUCAUGAAGUAAUCUUGUCAAGGCAUCUAGAGUCCAGGUGAGAAGACUCACCUCUGUCGCUUGGGUUAAACAAGAGACAGGUUUUAUAGAAUACUGAUUGGUAAUAGUAAAUCGUUCUCCUUACACUCAAGUUCUUGACCCUAUUCGGCCUUAUAAAUCUGGUCUUACAAAGACCAAAGGGAUCCUGUGCUUGAUCAACUGAACCAGUAUGCCAAAACCAGGCAUCCAAUUUGCAAACCAAUUAUGAUAAAGGACAAAAUAAGCUGUUUGCCACCUCAAAACGUUAUGAACUUCAUCACCACUAGUGUCUGUCCAUGGAGUUAGAGGGGACAUUGCUUAGAAGUUCUUAUAGAAAGGACACAAGUUUGUUUCCUGGCUUUACCUUGGGAAAAUGCUAGCAACAUUAUAGAAAUUUUGCCUUGUUGCCUUAUCUUCUUCCAAAUGUACUGUUAAAUAAAAAUAAAGGGUUACCCCAUGCAAUCACACCAUGCCAUGUUUUCCUUCCUGGAGGGCAGCCCCACAGGACGGUUUAUGAGCACACAUGAUUAUAGCUUGUUUCUACUUUAACAAGGUGUGCUCCCUCUAAAUUCAUGUAUUCAAAGGAAAUCUUGCCUAUAAUUAAAAUGCGGAACUAUAAAAUUUUUUUAAAAUCCAA
rnacentral:sRNA from 1 species